rnacentral:rRNA from 1 species
UACGGGGGGAGCAAGCGUUGUCCGGAUUUACUGGGCGUAAAGGGCGCGUAGGCGGCGUGACAAGUCACUUGUGAAAUCUCCGGGCUUAACUCGGAACGGUCAAGUGAUACUGUCGUGCUAGAGUACAGAAGGGGCAACUGGAAUUCCUGGUGUAGCGGUGAAAUGCGCAGAUAUCAGGAGGAACACCGGUGGCGAAGGCGGGUCUCUGGGCCGUAACUGACGCUGAGGAGCGAAAGCGUGGGGAGCGAACAGG